rnacentral:misc_RNA from 1 species
UCCUGCUUAUCACAGGCAGUCUGACUAGAGUGCUCGGCUUGACCCGGUAGCAACUAGUCACAGGGGUUGCGCUCGUUGCAGGACUUAACCUAACACCUCACGGCACGAGCUGACGACAGCCAUGCAGCACCUGUGUAACACCCUCGAAGGAGGCCGGCUUUCGCAGGCCUCAUCCGUGGAUUUCAAACCCGGGUAAGGUUCUUCGCGUUGCUUCGAAUUGAACCACAUGCUCCACCGCUUGUGUGAGCCCCCGUCAAUUCCUUUGAGUUUUAGCCUUGCGGCCGUACUCCCCAGGCGGGGCACUUAAUGCGUUAGCUUCGGCACGGAGGGAGUCGACACCCCCCACACCUAGUGCCCAUCGUUUACAGCGUGGACU